AUGUCUUCAAGUGUUCCUUGUAAACCACUCCUGGGGAAAGAGAGGAACUCUAACGAGGUAGCAUCGAAGAGUUCAUCUGGGAGAGUCCCGAUGAGGUUGUUGUGGCCAACCUUGAGCAUUCUGAGCAUGGUGCAGCUACCUAGUUCAGGUGGAGAGCUCAAGCACAGCCAAGGAUGGAAAGCUGGUGCAAAAAUGAGUUGGCAGUUGCCCAGUAAAGCUGUUGUUGCUGGCGUUGAGUGUGACCAGGUCUGUCAUGGCCUCCCAUGUGGAGGGUGGAAAUUGUCCUGUAAACAAAUUGCUCGAGAUGUUCAGCACCUUCAGUGGUCGGGCAGGCAUAGAUGA
rnacentral:rRNA from 1 species